rnacentral:rRNA from 1 species
UACGGAGGGUGCAAGCGUUGUUCGGAAUUACUGGGCGUAAAGCGCGUGCAGGCGGUCGGGCAAGUCAGAUGUGAAAGCCUUCCGCUUAACGGAAGAAGUGCAUUUGAAACUACCCGGCUGGAGUACGGGAGAGGAGAGUGGAAUUCCCGGUGUAGAGGUGAAAUUCGUAGAUAUCGGGAGGAACACCAGUGGCGAAGGCGGCUCUCUGGUCCGAUACUGACGCUGAGACGCGAAAGCGUGGGGAGCAAACAGG